rnacentral:rRNA from 1 species
UACGUAGGGGGCAAGCGUUGUCCGGAUUUAUUGGGCGUAAAGAGCUCGUAGGCGGCUAUUCACGUCGGAUGUGAAAGCUCAAGGCUCAACCUUGAGAGGCCAUUCGAUACGGGAUAGCUAGAGGUAGGUAGGGGAGAGUCGGAAUUCCUGGUGUAGCGGUGAAAUGACGCAGAUAUCAGGAGGAACACCGAUGGCGAAGGCAGAUCUCUGGGCCUUACCUGACGCUGAGGAGCGAAAGCUGGGGGAGCGAACAGG